UUAAUUUUUAAAUUAAAUAAAAAUUAUGGUAAAAACACUUUAUUCUUUCAACGUGGCAUCUUCCUUACCUCAAUAAUACUCAAAUCAAAGUACUACACUCCUACAUGCUACAGUAACUCCUUUUCACCACCCAAAGAAGCUGGCUGGCAUGGUCUCCUUCACCGUUUGUUAGUUUUCUUCUCCCUCUUGUCUUGUUCCACAAUUUGAAAUGCAUGCAUAUGAUAUGUGAGACACUCCAUUUGUAUCAAGAAAUUCCUUACUUGAUUUUCACCC
rnacentral:lncRNA from 1 species